UGCCAUGUUGGAUGCAAGUGCGGAGGGACU
rnacentral:piRNA from 1 species